GAAGCUGCAACUACCAAGCAACUAACCAACCAUAGAUAAUUUCUUUGGAUCUAAAAAAAAACAUUUUCAAAUUAGCUGACUUACUUUUAAACUUGAAAAUUGUCCCGAAGUAGCUGCCGGCUUCUGAUCCGCCGUUCUUUUGAAAAUACCGCGGUGUAUUCUGGGUAAUUUUUGGCCAAGACUAGGCUACAAAACACCUCCCGUGUGUCCUUGCUCAGCUAGCUAAACGGCUAACAAACGGAGAACACACGCCUCGGUAGAACAUGAACAUUGGAACCCAUUGGAACACGUCUUGGCGGUUCCUGAUCAGAAUCAGAAUCAGCUUUAUUGCCAGUGAUCCAGCGUCCCAAAGCAUAGGAACUUGACUCCGCAGCACAUCCUGACCAAAGUCACACACACACACACACACACACACACACACACACACACACACACACACACACACACGUAGACAAAACAGAUACAGGCAGACCACGAGAGCAGCCAUAACGGCGCUCUGAUGAUGUGUCUCCUAGGCAACCGGGAGCUGCCAAGAUGUGUUCCAGUGUUCAUGUUCUACCGAUGCAUGUGCUCUCCGUUUGUUAGCCGUUUAGCUAGCUGAGCGAGGAUACACGGGAGGUGUCUUGUAGCCUAGCCUUGGUCAAAAAUUACCCAGAAUACACCGCGGUAUUUUCCAAAGGACGGUGGAUCAGAAGCCGGCAGCUACUUCAGGGACAAUUUUCAAGUUUAAAAGUAAGUCAGCUAAUUUAAAAUGUUUUUUUAGAUCCAAAGAAGUUAUCGAUGGUUGGUUAAUUUCUCAUUAGUUGCAGCUUUGGUGGCUAGCGGGUAGUAACUCACUUAUAUAUUCAAUUUAAUAAACAUAUACACAAUUUAAAAAGUAAAAGGCUCGUUAUAUAUUUAUACUGAAACUUAUAUGUAUAAAAUAUAAUGUUGUCUCCCGUGACGUUACGUGACCACCGUGGAAGCCGCGGUCACGUGAUGCAAGUCUGCUACAUUUAACCGUUUUCAUUGACCAAGGAAGGACAGUGUCCUCGUAAGCAAGGCGCCUUGACAUUGA
rnacentral:lncRNA from 1 species